UACCUCUUCACAACACAUUGCUAAUCAGUUGAAAGCAUCAAACGGAGACAGCAUAUGCCUUAUCCCAUACAACACUGGUUUGCAGGUUGUGUGAAGAACCAGUACUAUACGCAGACACAAUAUGAUGAAGUGAGAAUUGAAUGGAGUGAAUUUGUGUACUCGUAUUUGAAGUGAAUUACAAGUUGUGUGAAUGAACCAGUACAUGUUUUUGGUUUUUUAUAGCU